rnacentral:rRNA from 1 species
UGGGGAAUUUUGGACAAUGGGGGAAACCCUGAUCCAGCCAUCCCGCGUGUGCGAUGAAGGCCUUCGGGUUGUAAAGCACUUUUGGCAGGAAAGAAAUGUCAUGGGUUAAUACCCCGUGAAACUGACGGUACCUGCAGAAUAAGCACCGGCUAACUACGUGCCAGCAGCCGCGGUAAUACGUAGGGUGCAAGCGUUAAUCGGAAUUACUGGGCGUAAAGCGUGCGCAGGCGGUUCGGAAAGAAAGAUGUGAAAUCCCAGAGCUCAACUUUGGAACUGCAUUUUUAACUACCGGGCUAGAGUGUGUCAGAGGGAGGUGGAAUUCCGCGUGUAGCAGUGAGAUGCGUAGAUAUGCGGAGGAACACCGAUGGCGAAGGCAGCCUCCUGGGAUGACACUGACGCUCAUGCACGAAAGCGUGGGGAGCAAACAGG